rnacentral:rRNA from 1 species
GAUGAACGCUGGCGGCGUGCCUAAUACAUGCAAGUCGAGCGAACGGACGAGAAGCUUGCUUCUCUGAUGUUAGCGGCGGACGGGUGAGUAACACGUGGAUAACCUACCUAUAAGACUGGGAUAACUUCGGGAAACCGGAGCUAAUACCGGAUAAUAUUUUGAACCGCAUGGUUCAAAAGUGAAAGACGGUCUUGCUGUCACUUAUAGAUGGAUCCGCGCUGCAUUAGCUAGUUGGUAAGGUAACGGCUUACCAAGGCAACGAUGCAUAGCCGACCUGAGAGGGUGAUCGGCCACACUGGAACUGAGACACGGUCCAGACUCCUACGGGAGGCAGCAGUAGGGAAUCUUCCGCAAUGGGCGAAAGCCUGACGGAGCAACGCCGCGUGAGUGAUGAAGGUCUUCGGAUCGUAAAACUCUGUUAUUAGGGAAGAACAUAUGUGUAAGUAACUGUGCACAUCUUGACGGUACCGAAUCAGAAAGCCACGGCUAACUACGUGCCAGCAGCCGCGGUAAUACGUAGGUGGCAAGCGUUAUCCGGAAUUAUUGGGCGUAAAGCGCGCGUAGGCGGUUUUUUAAGUCUGAUGUGAAAGCCCACGGCUCAACCGUGGAGGGUCAUUGGAAACUGGAAAACUUGAGUGCAGAAGAGGAAAGUGGAAUUCUAUGUGUAGCGGUGAAAUGCGCAGAGAUAUGGAGGAACACCAGUGGCGAAGGCGACUUUCUGGUCUGUAACUGACGCUGAUGUGCGAAAGCGUGGGGAUCAAACAGGAUUAGAUACUCUGGUAGUCCACGCCGUAAACGAUGAGUGCUAAGUGUUAGGGGGUUUCCGCCCCUUAGUGCUGCAGCUAACGCAUUAAGCACUCCGCCUGGGGAGUACGACCGCAAGGUUGAAACUCAAAGGAAUUGACGGGGACCCGCACAAGCGGUGGAGCAUGUGGUUUAAUUCGAAGCAACGCGAAGAACCUUACCAAAUCUUGACAUCCUUUGACAACUCUAGAGAUAGAGCUUUCCCCUUCGGGGGACAAAGUGACAGGUGGUGCAUGGUUGUCGUCAGCUCGUGUCGUGAGAUGUUGGGUUAAGUCCCGCAACGAGCGCAACCCUUAAGCUUAGUUGCCAUCAUUAAGUUGGGCACUCUAAGUUGACUGCCGGUGACAAACCGGAGGAAGGUGGGGAUGACGUCAAAUCAUCAUGCCCCUUAUGAUUUGGGCUACACACGUGCUACAAUGGACAAUACAAAGGGCAGCGAAACCGCGAGGUCAAGCAAAUCCCAUAAAGUUGUUCUCAGUUCGGAUUGUAGUCUGCAACUCGACUACAUGAAGCUGGAAUCGCUAGUAAUCGUAGAUCAGCAUGCUACGGUGAAUACGUUCCCGGGUCU